rnacentral:rRNA from 1 species
GAUGAACGCUAGCGGCAGGCCUAAUACAUGCAAGUCGAACGAGAGAAGGGAGCUUGCUCCCUGAUCUAGUGGCGCACGGGUGCGUAACGCGUAUGCAACCUACCUUAAUCAGGGGGAUAGCCUCUCGAAAGAGAGAUUAACACCGCAUAAAAUCACAGACCGGCAUCGGUUAAUGAUCAAAUAUUUAUAGGAUUAAGAUGGGCAUGCGUGACAUUAGCUAGUUGGUGAGGUAACGGCUCACCAAGGCAACGAUGUCUAGGGGAUCUGAGAGGAUGACCCCCCACACUGGUACUGAGACACGGACCAGACUCCUACGGGAGGCAGCAGUAAGGAAUAUUGGUCAAUGGAGGCAACUCUGAACCAGCCAUGCCGCGUGCAGGAAGACGGCCCUAUGGGUUGUAAACUGCUUUUAUUGGGGGAAUAACCUCCUGUAUGUAUACAGGACUGAAUGUACCCAAGGAAUAAGGAUCGGCUAACCCCGUGCC